UUAACUCAAAUUUGUAUGGAAUUGGAACGUUUGCCUACGUUUGCCGCUAGGGGCGCUGUUCCAACUGUAUACACAAAUUAAGUUA
rnacentral:pre_miRNA from 1 species